UGGGGAAUUUUUGGACAAUGGGCGAAAGCCUGAUCCAGCAAUGCCGCGUGUGUGAAGAAGGCCUUCGGGUUGUAAAGCACUUUUGUCCGGAAAGAAAUCCUUGGCUCUAAUACAGUCGGGGGAUGACGGUACCGGAAGAAUAAGCACCGGCUAACUACGUGCCAGCAGCCGCGGUAAUACGUAGGGUGCAAGCGUUAAUCGGAAUUACUGGGCGUAAAGCGUGCGCAGGCGGUUUGCUAAGACCGAUGUGAAAUCCCCGGGCUCAACCUGGGAACUGCAUUGGUGACUGGCAGGCUAGAGUAUGGCAGAGGGGGGUAGAAUUCCACGUGUGAGCAGUGAAAUGCGUAGAGAUGUGGAGGAAUACCGAUGGCGAAGGCAGCCCCCUGGGCCAAAUACUGACGCUCAUGCACGAAAGCGUGGGGAGCAAACAGGAUUAGAUACCCUGGUAGUCCACGCGUAAACGUUUGGGGCGCUAGAUGUGGGGACCAUCCACGGUUCGUGUCGCAGCUAA
rnacentral:rRNA from 1 species